rnacentral:tRNA from 1 species
GAGAGAAUAGUUUAAUGGUAAAACACUGGAUGUAUAUUCAGGGAUAUCGGUUCGAAUCCGGUUCUCUUUUA